UGAAGAGUUCGAUAGAGAGUCUGAUGUCUAGAUGAGUCCCAGUCUGUCUUGCGAUCCUGGAGUCUGCCGCUGUAUUAUUUCAUCGCUUCCGCCACCGCGAAUAAAUCGUCAAGCCUCACUCUGAUGAUUGGAGCGUAGUAGUACUUGUCAUGUCACAUUACUCUGAUGUGACAUGCCCCUUUUAUUGCGAGCAGUAUAGUUAUCCUAUUACCACUGUAACAUAUCUGACUGUGUGAGACGUGGACAUGUUGUAAUAAAUUGUACAACAACCUCUGCUCUACCUGUUUAAUAUUAAGUACUA
rnacentral:lncRNA from 1 species